AUUUAUGGAGAGUUUGAUCCUGGCUCAGGAUGAACGCUGGCGGCGUGCCUAAUACAUGCAAGUCGAGCGAACAGAUAAGGAGCUUGCUCCUUUGAAGUUAGCGGCGGACGGGUGAGUAACACGUGGGUAACCUACCUAUAAGACUGGGAUAACUUCGGGAAACCGGAGCUAAUACCGGAUAACAUUUAGAACCGCAUGGUUCUAAAGUGAAAGAUGGUUUUGCUAUCACUUAUAGAUGGACCCGCGCCGUAUUAGCUAGUUGGUAAGGUAACGGCUUACCAAGGCGACGAUACGUAGCCGACCUGAGAGGGUGAUCGGCCACACUGGAACUGAGACACGGUCCAGACUCCUACGGGAGGCAGCAGUAGGGAAUCUUCCGCAAUGGGCGAAAGCCUGACGGAGCAACGCCGCGUGAGUGAUGAAGGGUUUCGGCUCGUAAAACUCUGUUAUUAGGGAAGAACAAAUGUGUAAGUAACUGUGCACAUCUUGACGGUACCUAAUCAGAAAGCCACGGCUAACUACGUGCCAGCAGCCGCGGUAAUACGUAGGUGGCAAGCGUUAUCCGGAAUUAUUGGGCGUAAAGCGCGCGUAGG
rnacentral:rRNA from 1 species